UCUCGCGCGUGUCUGUACGCGUCUAGCUUUUAGCUCUUCAUAUUCUGCAGCUCUGAGGAUGAGCUUCGUGGAAAAGGCAACGCCUUUUGAGACCACGUUUCUGCAAACACAAUGGCUACCAGGAAAUUACCUGCAUGACUCAGAGAACCCAGAAACACCAGUAAAGCAGGAUCUGUGCAGAUUCGCUAAACAAUCUACAAGGCCAUGGUGACUGACCAGCCGGAAGAGUGGAGGAUUUCGGGUUAAUGAGAGCUGCCGUGUGGGAAGGAGUGAGUCCACAGCAGGAGGGAGACCUCUGCGUCACUCAGACAAAGGGAUUUUCCAUGUUUUGAUGUAGGAAUACUCUUUCAAAGCAUCCCUGCGUUGGAAUAAUUGAAGCAACAUCACGCCACCCAAACAGCUUUGUGUUCAAGGUAUUUUUAUUUUUCCUGUCAGGGUUGCCAUAAGUGGAUUCCGACUAUUGUGUAGAUUAGGUGCAAACUAUUUCCGCCCCACCCUGUCAGCGCCAACUCAGAGUUUAACUUAAAGUUUAUAAAAAAAAUUGCAUACAUAUUUUUUUCUAUAUCAUCUUCUCAUUGGGUAGAUUUGGUGAAUAUUUGCUCCUGGGAGCAAAAGGAUUGUCCUGUAGUUCAGACUGUUUUUCACUGAGCUUGUAGGGUUGUAGCAUUCAGUUCAUGCUUGAACCAGGGGCCUGCAGCAGGAAAUGGCCGGGGUCCAGCAUGGCUCCGCUUCAGGUCUGUGAGUAAUUUUGUUGUGAUAUGUGCUGAUUUUGGAUCUGAGCUUUAGUCCCCAAUCACACAAACAUUUAUAGACUGUUUGCUCUAUAGUUGUGAGGACAAUAGAUUGAAUUUGCAACCUGUUCUAUGGUCUGAUCAAGUUCAUCUCAUACAUUUUUUUUUAUCAACAAACUUUAAUCUGUGGCCUGAAAAUUAAACUUUACUGACUGCAUGCUGGAGGUGUUUCUCCUUUGAUUUCUCUCUGUUAUUGUUUGGAAAAUUAGGCUGAUGAGGUUGUAAAGUCACAUAAAUCUCUGACAUACUUCUUCAUCCUGAGCUUUGAGAACCACCUCACAUGUUAUGACAACUCGAAUGACUCACAGAGCGAACUCAUGUGACCUUCAUGAGAAACAGUUUAAUCUACAAUCAGAACUAAAGAAGCUUUUAUAAUGAGGGGUGAACAUUUCCAAAUAAGACUUCUUGCUAGGGCCGAGCAAUAUGGCUGAAAAGUGUAUCAUGAUAUAAGUGUUUCACAUCAGUCUAUUGAUAAGUAUUGAUUAUACCUGAAACAUUGCCAAACUGGGGCUGUGGCCUUUCCUGUUUUAUCCUCAGUUUCUUCUCUAGCUGGUGUACUCGUUUUCUCCUUUCACUCCACAGCAUUUUUUUUUAUUUUUCAGUAGUUAUGAAGCACUGUGGCAAAACCUGAAACUGCUGCUGCGCAAGGUACUUAACAAAGUUGUUGCUAGGUAACGAAAGAUUGAGAGAGUUAGUUGAUGCUCCCAACCUUUCUUAGCUAGCUCUGAGAAGUAGAGUGGUUAAAGCCUUUCCUCUGCCUACAUCCCCCAGAAUGCUGUUCGGUUCUGGAUCGGAGUUCAGUGAAAUUAUUAAAUAUUCUAUCAGACAUAUUGUCUAUUGAUAUUGGUCAUGUGUUCAUCAUGAUAUAUUUUCAUUGAUAUAUUGCCCAGCCCUACCUCUUACUUUCAUUUAAGGUAUUAAUUCAUGACAAUAGUGAGAUCUGUAGUUGAAAAGUGUAACACUCUAUUUCACUCCAAUUGUACUAC